rnacentral:rRNA from 1 species
AUACGGAGGGUGCAAGCGUUAAUCGGAAUUACUGGGCGUAAAGCGCGCGUAGGCGGCUUGAUAAGUCGGAUGUGAAAGCCCCGGGCUCAACCUGGGAACUGCAUUCGAAACUGCCGAGCUAGAGUUUGAUAGAGGAGAGUGGAAUUCCACAUGUAGCGGUGAAAUGCGUAGAUAUGUGGAGGAACACCAGUGGCGAAGGCGGCUCUCUGGAUCAAAACUGACGCUGAGGUGCGAAAGCGUGGGUAGCAAACAGGAUUAGAAACCCCGGUAGUCC